rnacentral:rRNA from 1 species
AUUGAACGCUGGCGGCAGGCUUAACACAUGCAAGUCGAGCGGAGAUGAGGUGCUUGCACCUUAUCUUAGCGGCGGACGGGUGAGUAAUGCUUAGGAAUCUGCCUAUUAGUGGGGGACAACAUUCCGAAAGGAAUGCUAAUACCGCAUACGUCCUAUGGGAGAAAGCAGGGGAUCUUCGGACCUUGCGCUAAUAGAUGAGCCUAAGUCGGAUUAGCUAGUUGGUGGGGUAAAGGCCUACCAAGGCGACGAUCUAUAGCGGGUCUGAGAGGAUGAUCCGCCACACUGGGACUGAGACACGGCCCAGACUCCUACGGGAGGCAGCAGUGGGGAAUAUUGGACAAUGGGGGGAACCCUGAUCCAGCCAUGCCGCGUGUGUGAAGAAGGCCUUAUGGUUGUAAAGCACUUUAAGCGAGGAGGAGGCUACUGAGACUAAUACUCUUGGAUAGUGGACGUUACUCGCAGAAUAAGCACCGGCUAACUCUGUGCCAGCCGCCGCCGUAAGAC